rnacentral:rRNA from 1 species
UACGGGGGGGGCAAGCGUUGUUCGGAAUUACUGGGCGUAAAGGGCGCGUAGGCGGCUUUAUAAGUCGGGGGUGAAAGCCUGUGGCUCAACCACAGAAUUGCCUUCGAUACUGUAGAGCUUGAGACCGGAAGAGGUAAGUGGAACUGCGAGUGUAGAGGUGAAAUUCGUAGAUAUUCGCAAGAACACCAGUGGCGAAGGCGGCUUACUGGUCCGGUUCUGACGCUGAGGUGCGAAAGCGUGGGGAGCAAACAGG